GAUGAACGCUGGCGGCGUGCCUAAUACAUGCAAGUCGAGCGAACUGAUUAGAAGCUUGCUUCUAUGACGUUAGCGGCGGACGGGUGAGUAACACGUGGGCAACCUGCCUGUAAGACUGGGAUAACUUCGGGAAACCGAAGCUAAUACCGGAUAGGAUCUUCUCCUUCAUGGGAGAUGACUGAAAGAUGGUUUCGGCUAUCACUUAAAGGUGGGCCCGCGGUGAAUUAGCUAGUUGGUGAGGUAACGGCUCACCAAGGUAACGAUGCAUAGCCGACCUGAGAGGGUGAUCGGCCACACUGGGACUGAGACAUGGCCCAGACUCCUACGGGAGGCAGCGGUAGGGAAUCUUCCGCAAUGGACGAAAGUCUGACGGAGCAACGCCGCGUGAGUGAUGAAGGCUUUCGGGUCGUAAAACUCUGUUGUUAGGGAAGAACAAGUACAAGAGUAACUGCUUGUACCUUGACGGUACCUAACCAGAAAGCCACGGCUAACUACGUGCCAGCCGCCGCCGUAACAC
rnacentral:rRNA from 1 species